rnacentral:lncRNA from 1 species
CUAAUGCUUCAUACAUCGUACAAUAUAUUAAAUAAUUAAUAAAAUGUUUAGUAAUCAGUAGUGUAAAAUAAAAUAUAAUAUAAAUACUUAAAUAAUUUAUUAUAUAAUAUAAAUUUUUAUUUAACACAUAAUUUAGAGUCGGUGUACGAUGUGAUUAAAAUAUAAGUGCAGGACUCCAAUCAGGCCUUUCUAAAGUGUGGUACAACCACUAUAAUUGAAUGUUCUAUCUCUUAUACAAUCAUAACUGUCUAAUAGAUCCAUCUUCAUUUAUCAUAAAAAGGUAACUCUCUCUCUCUAUAUCUAUAAACAUAUAUGAAGCCACAAUACUUUUUGUCACGUGGCAUGUUACCCUUCAUUCUCAUAACCCCACUUUAAAUCAAACCAUCUUCUCAUCUUCUCAACGCCUAACAUUUCACUUCCCCAGUCCUCUAAUUACAUGUAAGGUGCAACAUUUAAUUACAUGCACCAUAUUAAUAUUCUAUCACUACAACAGAAUUAGAUUAUAGGGACACAUGUUUGGGACACUUUUGAGUAAGUGUCCCAUUUAUGCUAAAACUUAAAGAAACAUCUACUAAUGCCUAAAUAUAAAGCCCAAUCCAACCAAAAAUAAAAGAUUACUCUACUCGACCCACCACACCCAGUCCAUUUGGCCCGAUUACAAACAGAAAAGAAAAAAAAAAAGAAAAAUCAAUUACCAUAUUUUCUUCUCUCUUCACUCAAUCCACUAAAAUUCUGGACGAAGAGCCAUUCCUGUCGUCCUCCUCGGCCACCACAGCCAACGAGAUAGAGUUUCGGCGGUUGCUAAAUGCUUAAAUAAGUUGUUGGUAAAUUAGCAACAAUCUUUUAGGUUAUAGCGACACUUUUUAACCGUCACUAUAUACCUAGCGACCCCACAUAUAGCAACACUUUUUAAAAGUGUCGGUAAUUUUAGCUAGCAGCACUUUUUUGACAUGUACCUAUAUUUAAAAGUGUCGCUAUAGACCGUUUUUGUUGUAGUGUAUCAAUGAAUGGGCUUUAUAACUUUAAUCCACUCCCCUCCUCUAUUAAUUUUCGACCCCCUCUCUUUUUGUAACUCUUUUGCAUGCACCAUAAGAAAAACAUCAUCGUCUAAUAUCCUACCCCACACUUAUCUCCCUCUUUCUCUCAUUGUGUUAACAAAGAAAAAGAAGAAGAAUAAGAAGA